AGACCCGAAACCCGGUGAUCUAGCCAUGGGCAGGUUGAAGGUUGGGUAACACUAACUGGAGGACCGAACCGACUAAUGUUGAAAAAUUAGCGGAUGACCUGUGGCUGGGGGUGAAAGGCCAAUCAAACCGGGAGAUAGCUGGUUCUCCCCGAAAGCUAUUUAGGUAGCGCCUCGUGAAUUCAUCUCCGGGGGUAGAGCACUGUUUCGGCUAGGGGGCCAUCCCGGCUUACCAACCCGAUGCAAACUGCGAAUACCGGAGAAUGUUAUCACGGGAGACACACGGCGGGUGCUAACGUCCGUCGUGAAGAGGGAAACAACCCAGACCGCCAGCUAAGGUCCCAAAGUCAUGGUUAAGUGGGAAACGAUGUGGGAAGGCCCAGACAGCCAGGAUGUUGGCUUAGAAGCAGCCAUCAUUUAAAGAAAGCGUAAUAGCUCACUGGUCGAGUCGGCCUGCGCGGAAGAUGUAACGGGGCUAAACCAUGCACCGAAGCUGCGGCAGCGAACGUAUCACCCAAGACAACUUUACGGAGUUGACGAUUGACGGAGCGAAGCGACGUCAAAGCGUUCAUUAAAGUCGAGUUGGCUUAGGGAUACGUUCGUUGGGUAGGGGAGCGUUCUGUAAGCCUGUGAAGGUGUGUCGUGAGGCAUGCUGGAGGUAUCAGAAGUGCGAAUGCUGACAUAAGUAACGAUAAAGCGGGUGAAAAGCCCGCUCGCCGGAAGACCAAGGGUUCCUGUCCAACGUUAAUCGGGGCAGGGUGAGUCGACCCCUAAGGCGAGGCCGAAAGGCGUAGUCGAUGGGAAACGGGUUAAUAUUCCCGUACUUGGUGUUACUGCGAAGGGGGGACGGAGAAGGCUAUGUUGGCCGGGCGACGGUUGUCCCGGUUUAAGCGUGUAGGUGUGUGUUCCAGGUAAAUCCGGUUCACUUUAACACUGAGGCGUGACGACGAGGCACUACGGUGCUGAAGCAACAAAUGCCCUGCUUCCAGGAAAAGCCUCUAAGCAUCAGGUAACAUCAAAUCGUACCCCAAACCGACACAGGUGGUCAGGUAGAGAAUACCAAGGCGCUUGAGAGAACUCGGGUGAAGGAACUAGGCAAAAUGGUGCCGUAACUUCGGGAGAAGGCACGCUGACACGUAGGUGAAGUGAUUUACUCAUGGAGCUGAAGUCAGUCGAAGAUACCAGCUGGCUGCAACUGUUUAUUAAAAACACAGCACUGUGCAAACACGAAAGUGGACGUAUACGGUGUGACG
rnacentral:rRNA from 1 species